AUGCUGCAGCAUGACAAGUUGUUCACAUUUGCCGGUUUCAGCAUUGAAAGCGACAAAGAGAAGCUGAAGUUGUCCGGUAUGGAGAUCAACCCCAACAAGUUCAUUGACAUUCAGCGCAAGUGGAGAGUUCCAUACACCGGAAAAGAGUACGACUCAUUGACUGAUGUUGCAGCCAGCAUCAUCCACCCAUUCUACAAAGGCAUGAAGAACAAGAUCAACACGCAGGAAGACUACAAACUAUGGGGGACAAGCGAGCUGCCAGACAACCUCAUCGAGUACGCAGGAGUAGAUGCGUACGCCGCGUAUAAGUCAUGGUUCAUGAUCGACUACAUCACAGAUGGUUCGGAAUUUGCGAAAGAGCGGGAGGCUAACAACUUCUACGACCACCCCUAUUGCCCCUUUACGGGAUGA
rnacentral:rRNA from 1 species